CUACGGGUGGCUGCAGUGGGGAAUAUUGCACAAUGGGCGAAAGCCUGAUGCAGCGACGCCGCGUGGAGGAUGACGGUUUUCGGAUUGUAAACUCCUGUUAAGUGGAAAGAAAUCUUUAUGAAUAAUACGCAUAAAGGAUGACGGUACCACUAGAGAAAGCUCCGGCUAACUUCGUGCCAGCAGCCGCGGUAAUACGAAGGGAGCGAGCGUUAUUCGGAAUUACUGGGCGUAAAGAGCGUGAAGGCGGCUGAUUAAGUUAGUUGUUAAAUUUCCCGGCUCAACUGGGGAUCGGCAAUUAAACUGGUUAGCUAGAGGGCAAGAGAGAGAAGUGGAAUUAUCAGAGUAGCGGUAAAAUGCGUAGAUAUCGAGAGGAACACCAGUUGCGAAGGCGGCUUCUUGGCUUGUACCUGACGCUCAAGCGCGAAAGCGUGGGGAGCAAACAGGAUUAGAUACCCCAGUAGUC
rnacentral:rRNA from 1 species